AUUGAACGCUGGCGGCAUGCCUUACACAUGCAAGUCGAACGGCAGCACGGGUGCUUGCACCUGGUGGCGAGUGGCGAACGGGUGAGUAAUACAUCGGAACAUGUCCUGUAGUGGGGGAUAGCCCGGCGAACGCCGGAUUAAUACCGCAUACGAUCCACGGAUGAAAGCGGGGGCCCUUCGUGCCUCGCGCUAUAGGGUUGGCCGAUGGCUGGUUAGCUAGUUGGGGGGGUAAAGGCCUACCAAGGCGGCGAUCAGUAGCUGGUCUGAGGGGAAGACCAGCCAGCAGGGGACUGAGGCACGGCCCAGACUCCUAGGGGGAGCCACAGUUGGGAAUUUUUGGGGAGGGGGCAAAGGCUUAUCCAGGAAAGGCGGCGGUGGGAAGAAGGACCUCGGGUUGGUAAGCACUUUUGUCCGGAAAGAAAUCCUUGACUCUAAUACAGUCGGGGGAUGACGGUACCGGAAGAAUAAGCACCGGCUAACUACGUG
rnacentral:rRNA from 1 species